AGCUCACUAGUCGAGUGACCCUGCGCCGAAAAUGUACCGGGGCUAAACAUAUUACCGAAGCUGUGGAGUACACCUUUAGGUGUAUUGGUAGGAGAGCGUUCUAAGGGCGUUGAAGGCAGAUCGUGAGGACUGCUGGAGCGCUUAGAAGUGAGAAUGCCGGUAUGAGUAGCGAAAGACAGGUGAGAAUCCUGUCCACCGAAUGACUAAGGUUUCCUGGGGAA
rnacentral:rRNA from 1 species